rnacentral:rRNA from 1 species
CCUACGGGAGGCUGCAGUGGGGGAUAUUGCACAAUGGGGGAAACCCUGAUGCAGCGACGCCGCGUGGGUGAAGAAGCGCCUCGGCGCGUAAAGCCCUGUCAGCAGGGAAGAAAAUGACGGUACCUGAAGAAGAAGCCCCGGCUAACUACGUGCCAGCAGCCGCGGUAAUACGUAGGGGGCAAGCGUUAUCCGGAUGUACUGGGUGUAAGGGGGGCGCAGACGGGGUGGCAAGCCAGGAGUGAAAGCCGGGGGCUCAACCCCGGAACUGCUCUUGAAACUGCGGGGCUAGAGUGCAGGAGGGGCAGGCGGAAUUCGUGGUGUAGCGGUGAAAUGCGUAGAUAUCAGGAAGAACCCCGGUGGCGAAGGCGGCUUGCUGAACUGCAACUGACGUUGAGGCCCGAAAGCGUGGGGAGCAAACAGGAUUAGAUACCCGGGUAGUC